rnacentral:rRNA from 1 species
UACGAAGGGUGCUAGCGUUGUUCGGAAUCACUGGGCGUAAAGCGCACGUAGGCGGCUUUGCAAGUCGGAUGUGAAAUCCCUCGGCUUAACCAAGGAAGUGCAUCCGAAACUGCAGAGCUUGAGUACUUAAGAGGAUCGCGGAAUUCCCGGUGUAGAGGUGAAAUUCGUAGAUAUCGGGAGGAACACCAGUGGCGAAGGCGGCGAUCUGGGAAGAUACUGACGCUGAGGUGCGAAAGCGUGGGGAGCAAACAGG